AAAAACACGAUGCAGGGGAAAAGUAGGAGGAAUGCCCGUCGUUAGAGAGCCGGUGGUUGGUGCAAACCGGCGGCGGCGUUCGUUCGAAAGGCACCCCGAAGUGGGCGGCGAGAACUCUUCCGGCCGGGGAAAGAAGCCGUUACGGUCAUGUCCGUUACGCAUGAGAGUGGGUCUGGCUGCUGAUCUUGCAGCCCGGCCAACAAGGGUGGCACCGCGGGAAAGAACCUCUCGUCCCUGAU
rnacentral:ncRNA from 1 species